rnacentral:rRNA from 1 species
GACGAACGCUGGCGGCGUGCUUAACACAUGCAAGUCGAACGGAAAGGCCCUGCUUUUGUGGGGUGCUCGAGUGGCGAACGGGUGAGUAACACGUGAGUAACCUGCCCUUGACUUUGGGAUAACUUCAGGAAACUGGGGCUAAUACCGGAUAGGAGCUCCUGCUGCAUGGUGGGGGUUGGAAAGUUUCGGCGGUUGGGGAUGGACUCGCGGCUUAUCAGCUUGUUGGUGGGGUAGUGGCUUACCAAGGCUUUGACGGGUAGCCGGCCUGAGAGGGUGACCGGCCACAAUGGGACUGAGAUACGGCCCAGACUCCUACGGGGGGCAGCAGGGGGGAAUAUUGCACAAUGGGCGGAAGCCUGAUGCAGCAACGCCGCGUGCGGGAUGACGGCCUUCGGGUUGUAAACCGCUUUCGCCUUGGACGAAGCGUGAGUGACGGUAAUGGGUAAAGAAGCACCGGCUAACUACGUG